AAAAAGCUUUCAAACUGGGAUUAGAUACCCCACUAUGCCUAGCCAUAAACCUAGAUAGUUACAUAACAAAACUAUUCGCCAGAGAACUACUAGCAACAGCUUAAAACUCAAAGGACUUGGCGGUGCUUUAUACCCCCUAGAGGAGCCUGUUCUAUAAUCGAUAAACCCCGCUUUACCUCACCACCCUUUGCCAACUCAGCCUGUAUACCGCCAUCUUCAGCAAACCCUAAAAAGGCGUAGCAGUAAGCUCAAUAAUCCUCAUAAAAACGUUAGGUCAAGGUGUAGCCUAUAGGGUGGGAAGCAAUGGGCUACAUUUUCUUUUAAAAGAACACCACGAAAACCUUUAUGAAAUCUAAAGGUUAAAGGCGGAUUUAGCAGUAAAUUAAGAAUAGAGAGCUUAAUGAACACGCAAGAAGCACCCCG
rnacentral:rRNA from 1 species